rnacentral:rRNA from 1 species
AGAGUUUGAUCCUGGCUCAGGAUGAACGCUAGCGGCAGGCUUAAUACAUGCAAGUCGUGGGGCAGCGCAGGUAGCAAUACUGGGCGGCGACCGGCAAACGGGUGCGGAACACGUACACAACCUUCCUUCAAGUGGGGAAUAGCCCAGAGAAAUUUGGAUUAAUACCCCGUAACAUAACGAUGUGGCAUCACAUUGUUAUUAUAGCUUCGGCGCUUGUUGAUGGGUGUGCGGCUGAUUAGAUAGUUGGCGGGGUAACGGCCCACCAAGUCUACGAUCAGUAGCUGAUGUGAGAGCAUGAUCAGCCACACGGGCACUGAGACACGGGCCCGACUCCUACGGGAGGCAGCAGUAAGGAAUAUUGGUCAAUGGACGAAAGUCUGAACCAGCCAUGCCGCGUGAAGGAUUAAGGUCCUCUGGAUUGUAAACUUCUUUUAUCUGGGACGAAAAAAGGCGAUUCUUCGUCACUUGACGGUACCAGAUGAAUAAGCACCGGCUAACUCCGUGCCAGCAGCCGCGGUAAUACGGAGGGUGCAAGCGUUAU